UUAACUGAAACCAAAAAGAGGUAUAUUAUUGUUAAUAAUAAAACUGAAUAAACUAUUCCUGUUAAG
rnacentral:tRNA from 1 species